rnacentral:rRNA from 1 species
AACGAACGCUGGCGGCAGGCUUAACACAUGCAAGUCGAACGCCCCGCAAGGGGAGUGGCAGACGGGUGAGUAACGCGUGGGAACAUACCCUUUUUUACGGAAUAGCUCUGGGAAACUGGAAUUAAUACCGUAUACGCCCUACGGGGGAAAGAUUUAUCGGGGAAGGAUUGGCCCGCGUUGGAUUAGCUAGUUGGUGGGGUAAAGGCCUACCAAGGCGACGAUCCAUAGCUGGUCUGAGAGGAUGAUCAGCCACAUUGGGACUGAGACACGGCCCAAACUCCUACGGGAGGCAGCAGUGGGGAAUAUUGGACAAUGGGCGCAAGCCUGAUCCAGCCAUGCCGCGUGAGUGAUGAAGGCCUUAGGGUUGUAAAGCUCUUUCACCGAUGAAGAUAAUGACGGUAGUCGGAGAAGAAGCCCCGGCUAACUUCGUG